rnacentral:lncRNA from 1 species
CUGGCUAUCUCCUCUAGCUGGUAUUGAUCAUCUAAACUUGUCUGAAUGGUAGCUUCCAUCUAUACUUUUUUGUCAUCUAGAGCGAAAGCCUCAUCUGACUUUUUAGAAUAAUAAAAAGAUGGCUCUGUGACUCGAUGUUCCACCUCCAUUCUUUUCUACUUUGUCCUCUUCUUCGCUAUUUGAGAAUCAACGAAAUACUUCUUCAUCAGCUGUCGGACCUCUUAUGAGUAUUUUUGAUACAUGGCUAUAUGAAAAAAAUCAUCAGUCAAAUACUAAUUCAACCUAGUCACCC